GAUGAACGCUGGCGGCGUGCCUAAUACAUGCAAGUCGAGCGAACAGAUGAGGAUCUUGCUCCUCUGACGUUAGCGGCGGACGGGUGAGUAACACGUGGAUAACCUACCUAUAAGACUGGUAUAACUUCGGGAAACCGGAGCUAAUACCGGAUAAUAUAUUGAACCGCAUGGUUCAAUAGUGAAAUACGGUUUUGCUGUCACUUAUAGAUGGAUCCGCGCCGCAUUAGCUAGUUGGUAAGGUAACGGCUUACCAAGGCAACGAUGCGUAGCCGACCUGAGAGGGUGAUCGGCCACACUGGAACUGAGACACGGUCCAGACUCCUACGGGAGGCAGCAGUAGGGAAUCUUCCGCAAUGGGCGAAAGCAUGACGGAGCAACGCCGAGUGAGUGAUGAAGGUCUUCGGAUCGUAAAACUCUGUUAUUAGGGAAGAACAAAUGUGUAAGUAACUAUGCACGUCUUGACGGUAACUAAUCAGAAAGCCACGGCUAACUACGUG
rnacentral:rRNA from 1 species